ensembl:snoRNA Y49E10.36 ncRNA
GACCGUGACGCGACCGCAACGCGGUGGUGUCAGGGUGCGCGCGCUUUUUCAAUCAUAUGUGGUGCGGUCGAUUCCUUCAUUCAUCCUUCUGUAUGCAGCUGCUCAUCAGUUUAUUGAGCAUCUGCUGUACCAAUUCGUACUUUAAAUUAAAUAUUAAGAGUACAUUUUCUGUGUGCUCUGUAUAUAAAUGUCUAGAAUAAACUGCAAACAAGAAUUCUUGGCUCCA